GCCGGGUGUGGUAGCACACACCUGUAGUCCCAGCUAUUUGGGGGGCUGAGAUGAGAGGAUCGCUUGAGCCCAGGAGGUCGAGGCUGCAGUGAGCUGUGCUUGUGCCGCUGCACUCUAGCCUGGGUGACAAAGUGAGACCCUGUCUCAA
rfam:Homo sapiens chromosome 10, GRCh38 reference primary assembly.